GAGUUUGAUCCUGGCUCAGGAUGAACGCUGGCGGCGUGCUUAACACAUGCAAGUCGAACGGGCUCAUAUUGAAACCUAGUGAUGUAUGAGUUAGUGGCGGAUGGGUGAGUAACGCGUGGAGAACCUGCCGUAUACUGGGGGAUAACACUUAGAAAUAGGUGCUAAUACCGCAUAAGCGCACAGCUUCGCAUGAAGCAGUGUGAAAAACUCCGGUGGUAUACGAUGGAUCCGCGUCUGAUUAGCUGGUUGGCGGGGUAACAGCCCACCAAGGCGACGAUCAGUAGCCGGCCUGAGAGGGUGAACGGCCACAUUGGGACUGAGACACGGCCCAAACUCCUACGGGAGGCAGCAGUGGGGAAUAUUGCACAAUGGGGGAAACCCUGAUGCAGCGACGCCGCGUGAGUGAAGAAGUAUUUCGGUAUGUAAAGCUCUAUCAGCAGGGAAGAAAAUGACGGUACCUGACUAAGAAGCCCCGGCUAACUACGUGCCAGCAGCCGCGGUAAUACGUAGGGGGCAAGCGUUAUCCGGAUUUACUGGGUGUAAAGGGAGCGUAGACGGCAGCGCAAGUCUGAAGUGAAAUCCCAUGGCUUAACCAUGGAACUGCUUUGGAAACUGUGCAGCUAGAGUGCAGGAGAGGUAAGCGGAAUUCCUAGUGUAGCGGUGAAAUGCGUAGAUAUUAGGAGGAACACCAGUGGCGAAGGCGGCUUACUGGAC
rnacentral:rRNA from 1 species